AUUUUAUAAUAAAUUAUCUUAAAUAUAAGAAUGUGAAUUUUAUUUUUCCUAAGAAUGAGAAAUAUAAUUUUACUUAUUGCUAAUAGAGAAGGCAGUUUAUUCUUGUUUGCAUGUCCUAAAAACCAGUAUUCAUUUCUUUCUAAAAAUGUUUAUGUAGACUGGGCACAGUGGCACACGCCUGUAAUCCCAGCACUUUGGGAGGCCAAGGCAGAAGGGUUGCUUGAGGCCAGGAGUUUGAGACUAGCCUGGCCAACAUAGCAAGGCCCCAUAUCUGAAUGAAUGAAUGAAUGAAUGAAAAACAAAGGAGAUUAUUAUUUCCAAUAGUCUUAGUAAUGGAACAUUUCCAGUUUUCUUGAGGAAUGAGUUUCUUUGGUUUUAAUGAAUUAAAAUGGCCUUUGGAAGUCCCCUCCCUCUUUCUGAGUCUCUUCUCC
rnacentral:lncRNA from 1 species